rnacentral:rRNA from 1 species
UACGUAGGGCGCAAGCGUUGUUCGGAUUUACUGGGCGUAAAGCGCACGUAGGCGGAUCGUUAAGUCGGGGGUGAAAUCCUGGAGCUCAACUCCAGAACUGCCUUCGAUACUGGCGAUCUUGAGUCCGGAAGAGGUGAGUGGAACUCCUAGUGUAGAGGUGGAAUUCGUAGAUAUUAGGGAGAACACCAGUGGCGAAGGCGGCGAUCUGGGAAGUUACUGACGCUGAGAGGCGAAAGCGUGGGGAGCAAACAGG